AAGUCGUAACAAGGUUUCCGUAGGUGAACCUGCGGAAGGAUCAUUAAAAAAUCUUUCGAGCCGCAAGGCUCUAUUAUCUUGUGAAAUGUACAUGGGCAGCCCUUUGCCUAGGGGAGGAUAAAGAUGCGCUAAUGAAGGGAAGGGUGCUUCGGCGUCAUCUCGUCAUAUGGCUAACAUCAACGUCCAUUUAUCCUAGGUGCUGGGAUUGUUCCAGUUAUUAUUAAACAUAUGUUUUUUGAUGUUGAGGAAAUGUAUAUUUAAAUAAUACUUAUACAACUUUCAACAGUGGAUCUCUCGGCUCUU
rnacentral:misc_RNA from 1 species